rnacentral:rRNA from 1 species
UGAACGCUGGCGGCGUGCCUAAUACAUGCAAGUCGAACGCAUACUCGGUAGUGAGUGGCGAACGGGUGAGUAACACGUGGGUACCUGCCUUAAGUUGGGGAUAACAGUUAGAAAUGAUUGCUAAUACCGAAUGUGCUAGUAAUAGUAAAGGCGCUCUCAAGCGUCGCUUAAAGGAUGGGCCUGCGGCGUAUUAGCUAGUUGGUGGGGUAACGGCCUACCAAGGCAUCGAUGCGUAGCCGGACUGAGAGGUUGAACGGCCACACUGGGACUGAGACACGGCCCAGACUCCUACGGGAGACAGCAGUUAGGAAUAUUCGGCAAUGGGGGCAACCCUGACCGAGCAAUGCCGCGUGUGAGAUGAAGGUCCUCUGGAUUGUAAAUCACUUUUAUUUGGGAAGAAUUGUGAGUAUAGGAAAUGAUACUCACUUGACGGUACCUUUUGAAUAAGCCCCGGCUAACUACGUGCCAGCCGCAGC